UUUAUCAAAAACAUCGCCUCCUGCAACUAUAUUGAGUAUAGGAGGUCCAGCCUGCCCAGUGACUACGGGUUCAACGGCCGCGGUAUUUUGACCGUGCAAGGUAGCGCAAUCACUUGUCUCUUAAAUAGAGACCUGUAUGAAUGGCUAGACGAGGGCUUAACUGUCUCCCCCUUCCGGUCAGUGAAAUUGAUCUAUCCGUGCAGAAGCGGUAUAAUUUUACAAGACGAGAAGACCCUUUGGAGCUUAAGGUACAAAAUUCAACCACGUCAAACGACUUCACAGAGAGCAAGAACUUAGUGGCGAGUGAAAUUUUACCUUCGGUUGGGGCGACCACGGAGGAGAAAGAAGCCUCCGAGUGGACUGGGCUAAUCCCCAAAGCCAAGAGAUACAUCUAUAAGCCGCAGAACAUCUGACCAAAAAUGAUCCGGCUGAUAAAGCCGAUCAACGAACCAAGUUACCCUAGGGAUAACAGCGCAAUCCUCUCCCAGAGUCCAUAUCGACGAGGGGGUUUACGACCUCGAUGUUGGAUCAGGACAUCCUAAUGGUGCAGCCGCUAUUAAGGGUUCGUUUGUUCAACGAUUAAAGUCCUACGUGAUCUGAGUUCAGAC
rnacentral:rRNA from 1 species